rnacentral:lncRNA from 1 species
CAUCCUCUUCUUGAAUGAUGCAAAUCCCUAAUUAAAACCCUCUGGUAGACAUCAGAGUUUAGGGGUUUUUUAGGGUUUAUUAGGGUUUUUUUUUAUGGUUUUUAGAUUUUUUAGGGAUUUUUAGGGGUUUUUAGGUGUUUGUUAUUAGAUGGUUUUUAGGGUUGCCAUGGAUUUCCACUGCGGUACACGCAGGUGUAUUCCGCGUACCCCCAGUUGCUCCACACAUCCAGUUUGAUCCUUUAUUACAUUAACAGCAUGCAGCAAGUGGAGCUGCUGCAGGAGCUGGAGCAGGUGAGCACCUAAUGGACGGGCACACAAGGGCCGAGCUGCCGGCUGAAGGGCACCCUGCCCAUGGCAUGGCAGCAGAGGGCCGGGGGACAACGCUGCUCCCUUCCCCUCCCACAGGCUCAUGAGCAGCUCAUGGAGAACCGCACGGCCACGGCCAGGGAGUCUUUGUUGAAGAAUGCCCAGCAAAUACGGGCUGAAAGAACGGCUGCCCGUAAAGAGGAGCUGGAGCAGGUAGGGGGCAGUGAGGGCUCGUCCUCACAGCUCGGCAUCCUCACGCCUCCCUGCUGUGGCAGAGACCUCCUCGCGUCCCUAAUCCCCGGCGUACCUGGGACCAACCGCAGCCACCUGGUGGGUUAUCUACUCCGCUCCGCUUUGGUCUUGAGAGCAGCACUCAUUGCCCAGCCUGGAAGAGCAGCUCGCACGUGCUGAGACAGCGAGGAGAUCGAGGUCCUGCCCGAGGAGCCGUCUGUCCUCACAUCCACAUCGCUGCCACCCAGCAACCGAAGGAACGGGGUCUCCACUGAGCAGAUGGCAGCAGCACGUGGGCUCUAACGGGAUCGUCUGGUCAGCUGCUCAUCCGCCGUGCCGGUCCUCUCAUCGGUCAGGAGGGGUGCCCGCCGACGCGUGUGCCGCUCCAUCGGGCAGCGGCAGCGCCGCCAGCUCCGAUUGGCUGAGGCUCCGCGCGCGGGAGCGGCCGCCAUCUUGUGUCUCGGUGCCUCCCGGCUCUCCCUUCGUUCGGCUGAAGCCGCUGCCGCAGCCCGGGCCACCCCGCACUGGGCAGCGGCCGCGUGGCAGCCGCUGCGGCGGAGCUGUUCCGGGCAGCACGAAGACGGAACCUGACGCCACGACGGGAAGCGGUUGCUGGGACGGCGGCGCCGGAGUGUGCGGGAGAACGGGGCCGGGCCGGGGCUGGGGAGAGGAAAGCUGAGGUGGGCUGUGGGUGUAGGGGGCAGUGAGGGAGGAGUGGGGGCACUGGGGGAGUUUAGGAGGCUGUGGGGUAAUGUGUGGCCGUGGGGGGGCUGUAGGUCCUAUGGGGCUGUAGGGAGGGCCUAGGGUAAUGUGGGGCUGUGGGGGGCAGUGGGAUGGAUGUAGGGGUGAACAGUGGGGGAGAUGGGGUUGUAGUGGGCUGUGUGGGGAUCCCGAGGGAUAGGAGGAAAUGGGUGGCUGUGAGGGAAUGUGGGGUCUGCCGGUGGCUGUAGGGGAUAUGGGAUGUAGGUAGGUGAAGUGGGAGUGUAGAAAGGUGUGAGGGGGUUAUCGGGAGAGCUGUGGGCUCUAGGGAGCACUGUUUGGCUGUAGAGGGCUAUAGGGCUGUGCGGGGUUUGUAGGAGGAUAUGGGGCUGUAAGGUGCUAGGGGAGUGCAGGGGUAGAUGUAGGUGUAUGUGGGGCUAUGGGGAGCUUUCCUAGUGGCCAUAGGAGGGGUAUGGGGUUC